rnacentral:rRNA from 1 species
AGUGAACGCUGGCGGUAGGCCUAACUCAUGCAAGUCGAACGGCAGCACAGUAAGAGCUUGCUCUUACGGGUGGCGAGUGGCGGACGGGUGAGGAAUACAUCGGAAUCUACUUUUUCGUGGGGGAUAACGUAGGGAAACUUACGCUAAUACCGCAUACGACCUACGGGUGAAAGCAGGGGAUCUUCGGACCUUGCGCGAUUGAAUGAGCCGAUGUCGGAUUAGCUAGUUGGCGGGGUAAAGGCCCACCAAGGCGACGAUCCGUAGCUGGUCUGAGAGGAUGAUCAGCCACACUGGAGCUGAGACACGGUCCAGACUCCUACGGGAGGCAGCAGUGGGGAAUAUUGGACAAUGGGCGCAAGCCUGAUCCAGCCAUACCGCGUGGGUGAAGAAGGCCUUCGGGUUGUAAAGCCCUUUUGUUGGGAAAGAAAAGCAGCAGGUUAAUACCCCGCUGUUCUGACGGUACCCAAAGAAUAAGCACCGGCUAACUUCGUG